rnacentral:rRNA from 1 species
AACGAACGCUGGCGGCAGGCUCAACACAUGCAAGUCGAACGCGUGCAGCAAUGCACGAGUGGCGCACGGGUGAGUAACGCGGGGAUAUCUGCCUUUUGGUUCGGAAUAACCCCGGGAAACUGGGGCUAAUACCGGAUGGUUCCUACGGGAUAAAGAUUUAUCGCCAAAAGAUGAGUCCGCGUCCGAUUAGCUAGUUGGUGAGGUAAUGGCUCACCAAGGCGACGAUCGGUAGCUGGUCUGAGAGGACGAUCAGCCACACUGGGACUGAGACACGGCCCAGACUCCUACGGGAGGCAGCAGUGGGGAAUAUUGGACAAUGGGGGCAACCCUGAUCCAGCCAUGCCGCGUGAGUGAUGAAGGCCUUCGGGUUGUAAAGCUCUUUUGGCGGGGACGAUGAUGACGGUACCCGCAGAAUAAGCCCCGGCUAACUUCGUG